UACAGAGGUCCCAAGCGUUGUUCGGAUUCACUGGGCGUAAAGGGUGCGUAGGUGGUUAGGUAAGUCCGAUGUGAAAUCUCCAGGCUCAACCUGGAAAUGGCAUUGGAUACUAUCUAGCUUGGGGAGUGGAGGGGGGACUGGAAUUCUCGGUGUAGCAGUGAAAUGCGUAGAUAUCGAGAGGAACACCAGUGGCGAAGGCGAGUCCCUGGACACUUCCUGACACUGAGGCACGAAAGCUAGGGGAGCAAACAGG
rnacentral:rRNA from 1 species